rnacentral:rRNA from 1 species
UACGUAGGGGGCAAGCGUUGUCCGGAAUCAUUGGGCGUAAAGCGCGUGUAGGCGGUUCGAUAAGUCUGCUGUGAAAGUCCAGGGCUCAACCCUGGGAUGCCGGUGGAUACUGUCGGGCUAGAGUGCGGAAGAGGCGAGUGGAAUUCCUGGUGUAGCGGUGAAAUGCGCAGAUAUCAGGAGGAACACCAAUUGCGGAGGCAGCUCGCUGGGACGUUACUGACGCUGAGACGCGAAAGCGUGGGGAGCAAACAGG